rnacentral:rRNA from 1 species
UACUCUACGGGAGGCAGCAGUGAGGAAUAUUGGUCAAUGGGCGGAAGCCUGAACCAGCCAUCCCGCGUGCAGGAAGACGGCCCUAUGGGUUGUAAACUGCUUUUCCAGGGGGCGAACAGCCUUGACGUGUCAGGGUUUGACGGUACCCUGGGAAUAAGCAUCGGCUAACUCCGUGCCAGCAGCCGCGGUAAUACGGAGGAUGCGAGCGUUAUCCGGAUUUAUUGGGUUUAAAGGGUGCGUAGGCGGACAAAUAAGUCAGUGGUGAAACCCUGCAGCUUAACUGUAGAUGUGCCGUUGAUACUGUUAGUCUUGAGUAUGGUCAAGGUAGGCGGAAUGUGUAAUGUAGCGGUGAAAUGCUUAGAUAUUACACAGAACACCGAUUGCGAAGGCAGCUUGCUGGGCCAAUACUGACGCUGAUGCGCGAAAGCGUGGGGAUCGAACAGGAUUAGAUACCCUGGUAGUCCACGCCGUAAACGAUGAUCACUCGCUGUUGGCGAUACACAGUCAGCGGCUAAGCAAAAGCAUUAAGUGAUCCACCUGGGGAGUACGGCCGCAAGGCUGAAACUC